UUGCAGUGAAUGUUGGAAAAUCUCGAUAAGCGGCGGCUGAUCGACCGUAACGGCAGGACAUGCAGAGCCGCCGUCCUCGGCCUCUCAAUCACAGCGGCUGGCAGGGGGAACCUCGCCCUCGGCUUGUGAUCCCUGUAAUGGAAUAUGGUGUAUAAUCGAGAGGCGAGCUGCUGAGUUAAUGAAAAGGGUGGAGAGGUGACAUUUUCUGAGGGACGUCUGAAGGAGGGUGACAUUUACAAAGAAGAAGCCCCAAAGACGGACCGUUUUUUCAUAAGUUGGAGGAAUGCAAAGCUGAUUUCUGCGCAACUGAAAUCCCCAGUUUAGCUUGGCGGCUUUCUGAGUCGGGAUCCCGUCUCGGGGCGGACAACAAAUCGGCUCCUUCACGGCCCAGUGAACCAUCGACUGGGUAACCAGCAGACAGGAAAGAUGCAUGGGGCUUUAAACUGUCGCUGGCCUCUGCACUCUUCCUCUCCGAACCGUGCGCUGCUCCGUGACUCUGGACGUUACACACAGAAUAAAAAUGAGGCGAGACAGCUGGAAAAUUUAACAUGUUGUCAGGCUGCUCUCUGUGAUUUAGGAACUGUGGAUUGGAGUCAUUUGUUUUAGCUAAUGUAAAUACAGUGAUGGUGGGGCUGGUGAUGCACAACGCUCACUGGGGUUACUGGUAAUGGGAGUGUUACACUGGGAUAUGCUGAUUACUCUGGUGUAGCAUUUUGACUUAUACCCACAUCAGUGUUGCAAAUGGUGCCAUUUUGGUUGAUGGCACCAGUUAAAUUUGGUUUUAACGAGUUAUAAGAACAGAAGCUGAUGCACAGUUGGUAUUUUAAACUCUACAUUUUCUACUUCUAAUUAAAACUGAUGUGAAAUAACUAUGCAGGAUGAUCAGAUGCAUGUUGAAUCACUAUACACCACUUUAUUUCUAUUCCUGUUGUAACAAGUAAUAAAUGAAUUUAUCAUUUAAUCGCAUGAACUCAA